CCAAGCUUCCUUCACUUCCUCAUCCUCAUCUUCAUUCCCUUCCCAAGUUACGUUUUUCCUCCUCCUUCGCUUCCCCUUCCUCAUCCUCAUCUUCAUUCCCUUCCCAAGUUACGUUCUUCUUCCUCCUUCGCUUCCCCUUCCUCAUCCUCAUCUUCAUUCCCUUUCCAAGCUCCGUUCUUCUUUGUUUGCCUUGGAUCUCACGCGGAGGGCCAAGCGAAGUCCGCCAAGAGAGAGACAAGACACCCUCAGCCGUGACCAUAAAUAUAACUGGUUCCUGAGUCAGCGCGUGAAGGCCCAUACCCGCCUCUAAGUCCCUGGGUUACGAGGCGACGGGAAAACUCACUGAAAGCAUCAUCCGCGCCAAGACCCGAAGAGGGGGAGCGGGAGAACCUACUUGCUGGCGCCUACUUGACUUGUAACCGUGAACCCGAAGACAAUAUAUACGGACCUCGGCUCUCAACUCCUCCCUGCCCCUUCUUGCCGGCCGAUUAAGGCUUCUGAUUUCAUGUAGUUGCUAUAUAAUGGGGUGACCGGGGAGCUUGGAUUACGGGAGGUUAAAACACUAGCCAGGGGAGGGAGGGAGAGGAUGGGAGGGAAGGAAGGGAUAUGGGUAGGUUAAAACACUAGUCAGGGGAAGGAGGGAGAGGAUGGGAAGGAAGGAAUGGAUAUGGGUAGGUUAAAACACUAGCCAGGGGAGGGAGGGAGAGGAUGGAAAGGAAGGAAAGGAACCCAGGGAGGAGGAGACAGGGAUGAGGGAAGGAGGGAGAGGACGGGAGCUAUGAGGAAAGGACGGGGUGAGGGUUGAGCACUGAUACUUUUAAAAAUCUAAUGGUCUGCGUGGCUUUAGCGCAGAAUACGAUGGAAGAGCUGAGAAGGGAGGGGAGAUGACUGAGAGUUUGGGGGAGUGUGACGGAGAGGGAGGAAAGAGAGGGGCGAAGAGAGGGUCAGGGAGGAGACACAGGGAAAGGGAAAUGGGAGAGAGGAAGGGAGAUAAUGGAAGUGUAAUUGAUAUGGUGGACAUGAAGGGUGAAAGUGAAAGAGAACAGAGUAAGAAAAACAAGACAUAAAAACAAGCGCGAGCCAUAGAACAGCGGCGCAGGAAUCAAGACACAGGGAGAGGGAAAAGGGAGAGGAAGGGAGACAAUAGGAGAAAGGGAGAGGGUGAUGACAGGAAGUAACGAGCGAUGGUGUAGAGAAUAAAGACGAAAAUACAACUUAGGACACACGAAGAAGGAAAACGGGAAGAUAAAGAGAAGACAGAACGAAGGAAUAGAAACACCAAUGACAAAGAGGACAACAGAUAACGAUAAAAGGGUAAGAAAAAGACAUAAAAUAAGAGGUAACGAAAGGCGAGAAUAAAGAGAAUAGAGACCAAACACAACAUAAGGUACAGAAAGAAGGAAAAUGGGAAGAUAAAGAGAAGACAGAACGAAGGAAAAGAAA